GAUAUUCCUAUCCCCAUGACGUACGACAUCCUUCGCCGCCGCCCCAUCUCCGAUCUCCCUUCGCCGCCGCCCUCGCACUCGCAUCAAGUCGCCGCCGAUCCCUGCGCCACCUCCACCCUGCGCCACCACUCCUAUGACGCCGCCUCCCGCCAGUCUCCACCAGCACCGCGACGUGCGUGGCCUCCACACGCGCCGUCACUGCCCCUCGAGGUCCGGCCGUCGUCGAGGGCGUAUCCAUCCAGCAGUGCGCCGUCACCUCCCUUCCAGAUCCGGCCGUCGUCAAGGCCGUAUCCAUCCAGCAGCACGCUGGCAUCCCAAUCAUCACCUUCCGCGGUGUCAUCGCCCAGGCCCAGUCUGGGGCCGGCAAGACGUCCAUGAUCUCCCUCUUCGUCUGCCAGGUUAUCGAGACCAACGUCCACAAGGUGCAGGCAUUAGCGACGACAUGGACAGGGGCUUCACUGACAGGAAGAACUUGCUCAUGGACCGCAGGACCAUGGCUCCCAAGAUCGACGACCUCAGGUCUCAGCCGUGCCUUUAGGGUUCCUCUCAAGAAUUACACACAAGUUUCUUACUCGAGGUACCGACCCUGAGGUCCUUCUUGGUGCCACAUGUGGUUGGUGGGCUGCAUUUUUAAGUUGGCACUACAUUAGUGAUUGGGGCAAUGGUCAGACCUGCUUGCACGAAAAAAAGGGCAAUUUUGAUGUGCAUGCAGGAGCUCAGAACUCACCUAUUGAUGACUCACCUUGGAAACUGGUUUUUUAAAGGUCUUGGAGAUCACCUUUGGUAACAAACACUCAGGACUGCUCUAACUUAUUAUAUGAAAUAAUGUUCGGCCAUAGUAUAUUUUUUCUACACUUGAUGUUAGGUAACUCUGAACCAU